UAUCUGUUUGGUGGAACCUGAUUAGAGGAAACUCAAAGAGUGCUAUGGUAUGGUGACGGAGUGCGCUGGUCAAGAGCGUAA
rnacentral:rRNA from 1 species